rnacentral:rRNA from 1 species
AGCGAACGCUGGCGGCAGGCUUAACACAUGCAAGUCGAACGCCCCGCAAGGGGAGUGGCAGACGGGUGAGUAACACGUGGGAACGUACCCUUUGGUUCGGAAUAACUUGGGGAAACUCAAGCUAAUACCGGAUAAGCCCUUAUGGGGAAAGGUUUACUGCCGAAGGAUCGGCCCGCGUCUGAUUAGCUAGUUGGUGAGGUAAUGGCUCACCAAGGCGACGAUCAGUAGCUGGUCUGAGAGGAUGAUCAGCCACACUGGGACGGAGACACGGCCCAGACUCCUACGGGAGGCAGCAGUGGGGAAUCUUGGACAAUGGGCGCAAGCCUGAUCCAGCCAUGCCGCGUGAGUGAAGAAGGUCUUCGGAUUGUAAAGCUCUUUUGCCAGGGACGAUAAUGACGGUACCUGGAGAAUAAGCCCCGGCAAACUUCGUGCCAGCCGCCGCAGUAA